GCUCUGACCUAUAUAUAGCACAGGGCCUGCCACAUGAUAGACACUUAUAAUACAGCUGCUGAAGGAUUGUAGUGAACUCACUGUGACAAGAACAGUGAUCACAUGGCUAGAGGAGGGUGGGACUCUUAACAGCAGCCUAUCUGGAUGAAAGGUGCAGUCUGUUAGAAGCACUCUGGCCACUUUGAAGCUGAGUCAUGAAGGAGGACUUCAGAGAGAUGUAACUGUCUGCAAGGACCUUCUCAUAAAUUUCGCUCAGAGAGGAGGCCUUCUGUGAAGUUGCCAUUAGACAUUGUCAUUCAUCUGUGGAGACUGAGGGCCAGAUAGUUUCAGCUGUGUCUGGAUUGAAUGGCGCCAGCACUCAUCUUUCCUGACAGUGGCUGAACCAGAGGAGCAUUGACAUUUUUCAUGAUGAUAGCUGGAUAUAAAUACUUGGAUCAUCCUGGAGACUCCACUGUCCAGCCCAGUAUUUCUCUUUAGCCAGUUCCUUCUCCUGCUAUAUUUGGCUGCAGCCCAUUGUGGAAAACUCUGAUGUCGAACUCCUAUGGCUGUAUAAACACCAGAGCUUAGUUCAGGGAGUCCCUCAGAUUGCCAACAAGUAUGAACUGAAUGAUGACACUGUUCAAAAUGCCUUCCUUGCUAUUCUCCUGCAUGACCAAGUAUCCUGGCUUUUUAGAUGCAGCCAUUAAACAUUAAGGUGACAAAAAUAAAGCUACUAUGACAGAAUGACAG
rnacentral:lncRNA from 1 species